AUUGAACGCUGGCGGCAUGCUUUACACAUGCAAGUCGAACGAGUGGCGCACGGGUGAGUAAUACAUCGGAACCUGUCCUCUCGUAGGGGAUAACUGAUCGAAAGAGCAGCUAAUACCGCAUAUGCCUGGAGCGGCCGCUGCACGAUUAUCUAGUUGGUGGGGUAAAGGCUCACCAAGGCGACGAUCCGUAGCUGGUCUGAGAGGACGACCAGCCACACGGGAACUGAGACACGGCCCAGACUCCUACGGGAGGCAGCAGUGGGGAAUAUUGGACAAUGGGGGCAACCCGGAUCCAGCCAUGCCGCGUGCAGGAUGAAGGUCUUCGGAUUGUAAACUGCUUUUGUCAGGGAAGCGGUACCUGAAGAAUAAGCACCGGCUAACUACGUGCCAGCAGCCGCGGUAAUUC
rnacentral:rRNA from 1 species